UGGGUGGUAGUAUAUUUUAUUACACAUGGUUUCGACCCGUGAGAUGGGAGGUUCCCCUGCCCAC
rnacentral:tRNA from 1 species